CUUCAGUACUCUAACAGAAAUCAAUAUGGGAGCUUUACCUGCAAGCCCAUGUGAGAUUGCUGUAUGAUUCAUCUGCUCCAUGAAAAUGACCACCUCUGCAGAUGAUUUAUUUAGUUCCCAGAUAUGUGUAUAUUCUAUAAUCUAUCACAAUUGCUUCCUCUCCUCUUCGUGAGGAUUGUGCUUUGUGUGGCAGCAUGCAAUAAUGCAGAAUAUGAAAUUAAUGGAAAGUGUUGCCCAAUGUGUCAUCAAGGUAAGAUACUUAAAGGAGUCAUAUAUGAUACUUUUU